ACUUCAGGAGAUGCUGCAUGUCAAUGAUCCCAGCCUGCUGGAUGUCCAGAAACUACAGCUGUGAUAAACCUUCCUUUAUAGCUUUUCAAAGAUGUCGCACUUGGCACAGAAGUCCCUUAACCACAAGUUAUUGGUGGCUGGGCAUGUCUGUCUCUACAGAAUGCAACAGCAAGAUCCUGAAGUGAUGAUUACAGCCAAAACCUGUGAUUUCAUGUUCAGCCGAUUGCUUUUGACCAGUUUGAGAACAUUAGUAGCUUGCUGAAAUCCUUGUGGAUUAUCGGCAGGAGUCGCCUUUCUGGAAGACUUUGCUUUGGAGAGGAAGCUGAUGACUUUGGUUCUCCUGCUGUGUAUUGAAGUACACGGCUCCAGUUGCACAAAACAAGAGGUUCACUAUGUGAUGACAUGGACAAAGCACCCCCAUGUCUUAUGAAAACAGUUUCUUGCAAGUGUGAAGUCUAAAAAUAUCCCCCAGAUGGAGACACCCAGCAAUGCAGUGAGAGCAUGGAGGAAUAGAGCUUGCAAUGUGCAAAUGCAGCAGCUCUCUUCUAGGCCCAGGGGAGGUGUUGGGGGAUCCACAGCAAGUGACCGGAGGAGCAGCCAUAGCAGGUUUGCAAGGUCUAUGCAUGCAAAUUCCCUGGCUUUCCCACCUAGAGAGUGAGCAGCUCCAAGAGGUCUGCUCUAUCCAUCCUUCCUCCCAGGCAGCAUUUGGAGGACGCCAAAGGAACGCAAAUUCUGCACUCGCGCUCUGCCGAUACGGGGAUUUUGCCUGGCACAAGGGAGCGGUGAAGGCAUAAGUUAUCAAGGUAUAACAAACAAAUUACAGCAUUACUGUGUUUUCACGUGUGAAACCUGAGUCUCACACCACCCUGGAUAAAAUUACUCCUCUGUGAAAGCAAGUCCUCAGAUAGCCUGUACCCUCAGAUAACCUAGGUAUUACACACAGGAAUGUACACCGGCUUUUAUCAGCUGGAUUUGGGAAUGAAAUGCAGGCAGCCAAGUUCAGAGACUGCUGCUGUGGCAGCUUUCCUCUCCCCCCUCACAUCUCCUCUCGCACCACAGCCCCGGCUCUGCCCCUUACACCCCUGCUUCCACUGCGAGUGCCAGGAAAGCUGCGGGACACAGGGACACUGGGAUCCUUGGAAGUGAGGGAGCCUGAAAUGGGACAAGCAGUGGGAAAGGAUGGAGUGUCCCACUGCAUGUGGGAGAAGUACAUCACAUGAGCUAAUACACAAGGAGUUUUACUCCCGAUCCCCCUCCCCUUUUGAGGGACCACUUCAUAGGGGUGUCAUAGUUUUGCACCAGAGUUAUUACAGCACAAUACAGUGCAAACAUGGUGUGAAUUAGAUCCACUGAACUCCAAGUUGAGCACUGAGAUACAAAAGGAUUGGGAGAGGGUUGUGGAAAAUGCCUUUUCUUCUUCUACUCACAGACACACAUAACAGCAGCAUUGCUCAGGAGUGGGUUUGUUGCACACAGGCUGGGAGUUACACGUGCAAAAAGCCCCUUUUCUGAACACAGGAGAACACCGCAGGACCAGAAUGACCUUGCACCAGUCUUCCUGGGCAACAGGUUCGCUCAUAAAAUCUGCAUCAGAGACUUCCUUGCAAUUAGGUCAUUCAAUCUUUGAUCAUUUUUCUGUUCCAUAAGGUACAGAAAAUAUUUACAUUCAACACACAAGUUCUUUCUUCAAUUCCUUGACAGCAGACCGCUUUAAUUAUAUGUGUGCUGACAGGACUACAGAGAGAUCCCAUGUGACCGCGGUGGAAGGGAAGAAAGCUUAUCAUCAGGUGACAGAAGAAUGCCCUUAUUGUUAGUGCCAAUACUUACAAAUAAACCUUUCCAGUGUGUCGUAUACCGGUAUAAAUAUACCACUCCUGUGGCAUUGAGCUAAUAUGUUACUGAAGUAAGAAACCAAGGAAGGGCUGCAUUUGAACCACUUCCCUCGGGACACAUGCGCUUCAAGAUUUGGCACUGAUUAACUGUACCAACUGUGAGCUGUGUGACUCACAACACAAAGUAUGCCAAAUAAUAGAACAUUUGCUAAUAUGGUCAGAGAAGGAUCCAUAAACCUCCUUGGGUUCUAGUCUUCACUCCUUUACCCCGGUUGCUGUUACUAGUUAUGCUGCAGUAGCUCCUAAGAGUCCUAAGACACACGGCAGGACUUGCUUGUGCUAAGCGCUGUGCAAACACAGCAGCACAAAAUGGAUUCUGCUCUGAAAAGAUGAGAUUGCUUCCCAGCCUGGCUUCCACUGCAAUAAGUUCAAGGAUUAAUUCCAGCUUUAUUGCAGCACAAGUUAACAGAAUUAGAUGCUCUGAGCUUAAAUUUGCACAGGAGAAAAUAGAAGUAUUUGUUAGAUUGUGAUUUCUCAUCACAGAGCGCAGGCAGGUAUCUUCAUCAAGCCAUCUCCUGGACUUCAGGAAAUAAUCUGGACUUUUACUCCUUACUGUACUUCAGCAAACCAGCUGAUCCAAAGAUCAAUACAUUUCACAGUGAAAUAGGAUAUUAUCUGCAUUGUAGUCCAUAGAAAGUUAAUUAGUAAGUACAGUGCAAAGCAAAUAAGGAACUGGGGAGAGGCACGGACGAUCUUUACUCCUGGCAGGAGGUGCGGAGAAGCUGUGGGCAUGGGCAGCCCACGCGGGAAGAAGCAGUGUGCUCUGCAGGCAGGGAGAAGGACGGGAUGGAGGAAGGUGCCCGGCUUGUGAUGGAGCGAAGGGGGAUGAGUUGCCUCUGACCAGGCUUUUGUAUACCACGGGAUAGCAACUUUCCAGGAAUUUGUAUAAUUUCACAGGUUUCUGCGUCAUUUCUGGUGUUGGUUAUUUCUCAUAACUACAUUAGACGCAGGCAAAACGUGAAAUUCGGGUUCAGAUAUGAGCUCUGAGGCAAUAUAUUGUGGCAGCUGUGCGAUUUGAAUCACUGUAUCUAUUACAGGUAUAUCACUGAUGUAUUUUAAAUUGAAGCAAGUGCAAAUCAUUUAAUAACAGUGUAGUUGACCCAUUCACAGCUAAAGUUCUAAGGGAGUUAAUAUGUCAUAGAUUUGUAAAACAAGAAGUAUUUUCAAAGCAUGCAUUGUCUUGCUGAAAACUGCAAAUGUGAUCUCUGAUUCCUUCUGGAAACCCGCCAUUUUCUAUAGCUCAUUUUUCACAGCAAGCACAAGUUUUGUAUAUGAUUAUUAACAAAAACCAACAAUCUGUCCAAAACCUAACAGAGAGUGAACUAUGUUUUAAAUUCCUUUUCAUGGUCUGCCUUUUUUGGUUGAUAGCAUCUAUCCCCAUGAUACACUGUCUCUUAAUCUGCCCUGAUCUUGCAAACAUUUAUGUGCCAAUAACUACAUCAAGCAAACUCCUCUUACCGAAAUGCAUAGGUACUCACAGAAUGGUAGCUUUAGGUUAAUUCAGAGACUGAUCCCAACAUCAGUGCAAUACAUAGAUAUUAAUAUAGUUACUUUUACAGCUGCUACUGAUGGAUUUUCACUGCAGAAAAGAGACCAACUCCUACCAGCUAAACAGCUACAGAUAGUACAUUUGAAAACAGAGCUGCUAAAUACCAUUUUGUGCCAUUGCUUAAGGAUAGCAGCAAGUUCCUCAUCCCUCUUGAAAGGACAUAUGUGCAGGAUUUUCUAGUGAAUGUAGAGCAGAGCACUGCAUAGAAAUAUCACAGGAGCUCUGUCUUAGCUCUUAUAAUGACCCUUGAUAUUAUUUCUGCCCCCACCACAAGUGCUAAUGAAUAUAUCUUCUUUAAACCCAUUCUUCCCUCUUGAGAGAAGUGAUGCUUCUGUCCAGUUGAUGGAGAACUAUGGAAGAAAAAUAUAUAUUUGGCUUGAUGAAGGUAUUCCUGGACUCAUCCAAGAAUGCAGCUACAACCUGAGUUCUAGAUGACUGCACGGUUGUAUCACUAACCUGCCAUUUGAUAGCAAUCACCUUAUUUUCCCCUAUCUAAAAUGGGGCUGCAGGCAUUUGGUUAUCUCACAGGAUGAGUUGAAAUAGAUGCACUAAUGCUUGCCAAGCUCUUUGAGAAUAUAAUGGUUACUUUGCAUCUUACUUCCUUUUUAAAUAGAGUAAAGCCAGGAGGUGUUGCAUGGCCAUUCACACCAGAUAAGGUAUUGAAUAGAUGUGUCUAGUAUAAUAAUUAACCAUGAAAAUGCUUUGCUGUGUUUUUAAUGAAUCCUUUUAAAGUGAAAAAUGCUUGCAGAAGUUUGCACCUUUGACAAUGCUAUUGUCAUCAUGUUUGCAGGCUUACAGAGCAAACCACCUUGAUUACCUUGGAGAUCUGGAUGGUAGGCUUCCUUUCUCACUCUUUAUAGAAAACAUUUUGGAAUCUGUAUAAAACAGCAAAACUUAAGAGAAAUCCAAGGGCAGAAACUGAAUUCUCAGAAGUUUCUAUGCCUGACUGUUUGCUCACUUGUUUUUUGUUUGUUUGUUUAUAGGCUUUUAUUUGGGGACCUGUAUUUCCAGCACACUGAGCUGCACUUCGAGCAUAUACUUCAAGAGCUGCUGGAAAUGGCUGGGGGGGGGG